rnacentral:rRNA from 1 species
GACGGAGGAUGCAAGCGUAAUCCGGAAUUAUUGGGCGUAAAGCGUCCGCAGGUGGCGAUUUAAGACUGCUGUCAAAGACCACAGCUUAACUGUGAGCAGGCAGUGGAAACUGGAUUGCUAGAGUGCGGCAGGGGUAGAGGGAAUUCCCAGUGUAGCGGUGAAAUGCGUAGAUAUUGGGAAGAACACCAGAGGCGACGGCGCUCUACUGGGCCGCAACUGACACUCAUGGACGAAAGCUAGGGGAGCGAAUGGG